rnacentral:lncRNA from 1 species
GGGGGUGGAAGAUGACUCAUUGGCGGACCACACGGUAACGAACCUUGCAACGGAAACGACAAUGAAUCAAAAGCUUAGCAUGGCAGGUAAUGGAGCAACGGCAAUGGCAGGAUGCAAGCUACAGAGCUGCAUCUGCGGCUGGAAAAAGAUAACAUCAGAGAAGGGCCUCAAGAUCCACCAGGGUAGGAAAAAGUGCCUGAGAGAGCUAAGUGAGGGGCCUCGCAUUGACCACUACUUCCUCAGAGGUAGGGCAAAUAAGUCGAUUGAAGCCCAGUGGCAGGAUAAUCACCACAGUCCACAGGGUAUCAGAACCCCAGACGAAGCUCAACCAGGCAUGGAUCCACCCAUGGACGUGAGCACAGAACCCAUCCAGCCGCAGCCAGCAGUAGAGAGGAAGCUGGAGGGACGAAAACCUCAAAUUCUGUGGCCUAAAUCCUGCCAAAAAGAGGAGUGGGAAACCAUUAAUAUAGACCUUGUGCACCUCCUGGAAGGCCUGAAAGGAGGCGUGGAGAAGAAGCUCGACAAGAUUGGGGAAAUCAUCUACAGCUAUGGGGCAGAGAGAUUUGGGGUGAAAAGCGGGAACCUUAAGUUGCAGAAGGAACCAGCUCAUCUCAAGUCCAGGAGGCAGCGAGAGAUUGAAAGGCUUGUGAAGGAAAGAAGAUGUCUGAGAAAACAGUGGAAGAAGGCCGCCGAAGCAGAGAGGAAAGGACUCGAGGCACUACAAGGCGACCUCAAGCAACGUCUGGCAACACUGAGAAGAGCUGAAUGCUUGAGAAAGCAACACAAGAAGAAGGAGCGAGCGAGGACUUCCUUCUACAGAGAUCCCUACAAGUUUGUGAAAGCCCUCUUUGUCAAGGAGAAAUUUGGGACCCUCAAAGCACCCAUAAGGGAACUAGAGGAGCACCUGAGGAAUACCUACUCAGACCAUCAAAGACAUGUACCAGCCUGCAUCCCGGAUGACAUGCCACCCAUCCAACCAGUUGAGCACCAGAUGAAAACAAGGCCGCCGACAUGGAGUGAAAUUGAGGGCACAGUAAAGCGGGCGAGAGCAGCAUCAGCCCCUGGGCCCAAUGGUGUCCCUUAUAGGCUUUAUAAGAACACGCCAGAUGUCUUAAGGCACCUCUGGAAGCUGAUGAAAGUGGCAUGGGAAAAAG